ACUGGUGCUUCCCAGAAUAGAAGGGGCAGUGUGUCUGUAUUGGAAAAAAAAAGAAAAAAGAAAAAAAGAAAUUGCAAAUGGCUCAUUAAAUCAGUUAUCAUUUAUUUGGUGGUCUCCUUACCACUCGAAUAACCAUGGUAAUUCUAGAGAUAAUACUUGCAGCAUAUCCCGACUUCUGAAAGGGAUGUAUUUAUUGGAUAAAAGGCCGAUCCGGGCUUGCCCGUUGUUGCGGCGAAUCAUGGUGACUUGUCGAAUCGCAUGGCCUUUGAGCCGGCGAUGUUCCAUUCAAAUUUCUGCCCNGCCCGUUGUUGCGGCGAAUCAUGGUGACUUGUCGAAUCGCAUGGCCUUUGAGCCGGCGAUGUUCCAUUCAAAUUUCUGCCCUAUCAACUUUCGAUGGUAGGAUAGAGGCCUACCAUGGUGGUAACGGGUGACGGAGAAUUAGGGUUCAGUUCCGGAGAGGGAGCCUAAGAGAUGGCUACCACAUCCAAGGAAGGCAGCAGGCGYGUAAAUUACCCAAUCCUGACAUAGUGAGGUAGUGACAAUAAAUAACAAUACUGGGCUCUUUCGAAUCCGGUAAUUGGAAUGAGAACAGUCGUAAACUCCUUGAACGAGGAUCCAUUGGAGGGCAAGUCUGGUGCCAGAAGCCGCGGUAAUUCCAGCUCCAAUAGCGUAUAUUUAAGUUGUUGCAGUUAAAAAGCUCGUAGUUGGAUUUUGGGUGGGAGGGGUUGGUCCGCUCUUGCGGGCGUGUACCGGCCCUUUCGCCUUUCUUGCCGGGUAUGYGUUCCUUGCCUUUAUUGGCUGGGAUCCAGAGCUGGCGCUCUUACUUUGAAAAAAUCAGGGUGUUCAAAGCAGGCCUGUGCUCUGAACAUAUUAGCAUGGAAUAACGCGAUAGGACUCUGGUCCUAUUUCGUUAGUCUUCGGGAUUGGAGUAAUGAUUAAUAGAAACGGUUGGGGGCAUUCGUAUUCCAUUGUCAGAGGUGAAAUUCUUGGAUUUAUGGAUGACGAACUUCUGCGAAAGCAUUUGCCAAGGACGUUAUCAUUAAUCAAGAACGAAACUUGGGGGAUCGAAGACGAUCAGAUACCGUCCUAGUCUCAACCAUAAACGAUGCCGACUAGGGAUUGGCGGAUGUCUAUUGGAUGACUCUGCCAGCACUUUGUGAGAAAUCAAAGUUUACGGGUACCGGGGGGAGUAUGGUCGCAAGGCUGAAACUUAAAGGAAUUGACAGAAGGGCACCACCAGGCGUGGAGCGUGCGGCUUAAUUUGACUCAAAACGGGGAAAGUCACCAGGUCCAGACACAGCAAGGAUUGAGAGAUUGAGAGCUCUAUCUUGAUUCUAUGAGUGGUGGUGCAUGGUCGUUCUUAGUUGGUGGAUUGAUUUGUCUGGUUUAUUCCCUUAACGAACGAGACCUCAGCCUGCUAAAUAGCUACGCGGGGACCUUUCCUCRUGGCCAGCUUCUUAGAGGGACUGUUGGACGACUAGCCAAUGAAAGUUUGAGGCAAUAACAGGUCUGUGAUGCCCUUAGAUGUUCAGGGCAGCACGCGCGCUACACUAAUGAAUCCAACGAGUCGCUUGCCGAGGUCGAAAGGCCCGGGUAACCUUCUUAAGGUUCAUCGUGACGGGAAAAUAUGGUUUUAAUUAUCGAUGUUGAACGAGGAAUGCCUAGUAAGCGCAAGUCAUCAGCUUGCGCUGACUACAUCCCUGCCCUUUGUACACACACUGCCCGUCGCUCCUACCGAUUGAAUGGUCCGGUGAAGUGUCUGGAUUGCGGUGAUGUCAUCGGUUUGCCGCUGGGGAUGCUGUGAGAAGUUCAUUGAACCUUAUCAUUUAGAGGAAGGAGAAGUCGUAACAAGGUUUCCGUAGGUGAACCUGCGGAAG
rnacentral:rRNA from 1 species